ACAAGCAGUGGAGUAUGUGGUUUAAUUCGACGCAACGCGAAGAACCUUACCAGGGCUUGACAUCCCCUGACCGCGUAUGAAAGUACGUUUUCACCUUCGGGAGACAGGGAGACAGGUGGUGCAUGGUUGUCGUCAGCUCGUGUCGUGAGAUGUUGGGUUAAGUCCCGCAACGAGCGCAACCCCUACGUUUAGUUGCUAACGCGUGAAGGCGAGCACUCUAGACGAACUGCCGUUGACAAAACGGAGGAAGGUGGGGAUGACGUCAAGUCCGCAUGCUCCUUACGUCUAGGGCUACACACGUCCUACAAUGGGGUCGACAGUGGGAUGCAAAGCCGCGAGGUGGAGCCAAUCCCCAAACGGCCUCUCAGUUCGGAUAGUAGUCUGCAACUCGACUACUUGAAGUCGGAAUCGCUAGUAAUGGCGGAUCAGCAUGCCGCCGUGAAUACGUUCCCGGGUCUU
rnacentral:rRNA from 1 species